CUCAAAUGUAGCUAUGCUUAUCACUUUAAAACAGCGCCAACGAAACUGUUAGACAUUUAUUCUGUGACAGAGCACACGCUUUUCAUUCGUCAUCUUCAUUGAAGAAUACUUAGAUAGUGUUCUUGAGAACACCUUUCAAAUAUUCCGCCACGACACCAUAGAGUUUCGUUUUGCACGGAAAAAAGAAGGCACCGUAAGUUGUUUACAUUCGAAAUGUCGUAUCGUGUUUGUGGUCUUUUAGUACAAAUUACUACAAAAAAUCAAACAAGCGUUUUGUCUUCUGUGGACGUAUGGUGAUAUAGAGGCACAAGAGCAUGCUGGUACCAGAACUGCUGCCGUUAAUCAAAGUCGGAAGGUGCUUUGGUAGAUUUCAAUAAGCAGGGGGGUAGUACCUUCUGCUGAAGGACCCAUUAUAAACUGGCUGAUAUAUGCAGCGAGAAGACUGUUUAUGUUUUUCUUUAAGUUUUGUUGCAUCUAGUCAUUGCUAUUUUUGUUUUAAAGAUUAGGAUUUAUUUCUUUACGUUAUUGUUUUCAUGUUUCAUCAAAUAAAGUCAACAUUCUACUU